GUUAUACCAUUGAGCUACUGUGCCAGUGUUGAGUGGAAUCUAAAUUUAGGGAUUCAUGUGAGUUACUGGGCAUAGUGUCUUGGGAAUGCUGCCCGGGAACUGGAAAGGGAAGGUGCUCUAAGAGUUUCUUCUCUCUACUGCUCCAGAUGCUCCAUGUGCUUAUGGAAACACUGACUCUGGAAGGAACUGUCAGCUCAUCCCAUCCCAUCCCAUAUCCUCUGAGAAACUGAGUGAUUAUGGGCUCCUUUUUCAUGGCUCUGGUGAAUUAAGCACCAAAACUGUUCGUUAAUAGUGUGGGGCCAUAUGUUGCCCUCACUAAACAACACAGUGGGGAGCAAAGGAGUGCAAGUACAAGUGUCAUGAAACCAGAGCAUGAACGCCAAGGGGGGAAAGAGAGGACGUGCCAACUUCCGUGAAAAGACCAGCAACAGGAAAUCCAUUGGACAAUGGUCAAUGGCAAAUAUGAUGCAAAUAUGAGUCACAAGUUUAGGAAAACAGGAUGACCAGGUUAUGCAGAACCCCUUCUGCAAGGGUUUCCAUUUUCUUGCCAAAGAAACAUGGAACUUCUGCCUUUGAAAACUCAGAAAAUCUUAACCCAAGAUCUUUUGUUUUGUUUUGUUAUUCUCUUCUGUUGGUGACCUGA
rnacentral:lncRNA from 1 species